UCCUGAGUUCAGUUCGUAGCUGCGAGAGAAAGGAGCAACACAGUUUUUGACCGUGUGACUGUGAAUUGUUUUAUUUAUUUAUUUUUUCAGCAAACGUUUUCAAACUAUUCAAGCGUUCUGUCAUGCGCGUAUGAAUCAGUGACUCCUGCAGCUAGUUGUGGUGCAAAACAGGAUCAUUUAGACGGAGUGCCACUACAUUAAGUCCAAAACUGCUCCACAAGCAUCUAAGAUGAAGACGAUGGCUAAGCGCUAAUAGCUGUUUCAAAGGGAAAGAGAGAGGCAUCGCUCGGUUCCUCAGUGCAACUACGGUGGCAGACUGCAAGAAGAAGCUUUAGAAAAGAUGAUCUAGACAGUGAUGUUGCUGGCUUCGUUGGCUCUGUGCUACCAAACUCAAGGGCAAAUGAACUGGUAUUGAAGACCAUCCAGACAUUGAGUGUGGAAACCCUGAAAGUCCUGAAUUACGUCCAGGGGGCAGAUCUGGUCAAUGUCCUUAGGCCAGUUGAAGCUGGAAAACUGGAGACCUAUAGCCACACCCAGAGGAACAAUGAGCUCUCUAGCCACACCCAGAGGAACAAUGAGCCCUAUAGCCACGCCCAGAGGAAUGAUGAAAAGUGUCAUGCAGAGACUAUUCAUCUUCCAGUAUGUGUGAGAAAAUGUCUUUGAGCAAUUGAAAAUAAAAUGUGCGUAUUUUCUGAUUA